UUAAAUUGAAGAGUUUGAUCAUGGCUCAGAUUGAACGCUGGCGGCAGGCCUAACACAUGCAAGUCGAACGGUAACAGGAAGAAGCUUGCUUCUUUGCUGACGAGUGGCGGACGGGUGAGUAAUGUCUGGGAAACUGCCUGAUGGAGGGGGAUAACUACUGGAAACGGUAGCUAAUACCGCAUAACGUCGCAAGACCAAAGAGG
rnacentral:rRNA from 1 species